ensembl:lncRNA
UUCAAAGGCACAUUUUUUUCCAGAGGCUUCGUCAAUGAAAAAUUCUAUAACAUCUUCAAAUAUGAGGAUUAAGCUUUCAGUCUUUUAGUUAAAGAUUUUGGUUUUGUGUCUCAGAACGUGCUGUUGCCAGGAAGAGCUUUCUACUUCCAUGUUUUUGUAUCUCAGUGAUACUUUGUGUACCUUGAGUACUAGUUUAUUAGCUACGAGUUGAUGCUGCUGCUUAUUAGAUCCUGUGGUCAGUUUAAACAGUAAUUAGCAGAUAUGAUUGCACGUAAUUGCACAGCAACUAAUAGAUUAGUGAAGACUCUAAGAUAGAAUUGAGUAUAAUUAUCAUCUGCAAUGACACAUGUGAUGGCACACGUUUGUUUUGAACAAGACGUUAAAAAGAGUGAUUGAAUUUGCAAGAGUGACAAUUGUGACAAUUGAUAAUUGCAGAGAUGUUGCCUCCAUCAUUUUCGCAGUUUUCAUGGAAGUAAAUAGCAGACGUUACUUUCAGAGUGACCUACGUACAUGCCAGACUAAGGACACGUCUGAAUGAGAAACGGUGCCCGAUGCUCAGAGCAACAGGAGUCCACCCUCAGGAAAUCUUGGAGAGAAGUCUGGGUUGGUUUGUAUCUGGAUCAGAAGAAUUGCAAAGAAAAAUCAAUUUUCCUGACAAAGAGCUGAUUUGAACAAGGGGCCAGAAGACAGAAGUACUGUGAGAAAUUAGUGUUGAAUGGAUCUACAACAGAACACUGCAUCUGCAGAAAAGAAGGUCAUAAUAAUUAGAGAUAUGUGGGAAAAGGCAGUAAUUUAUGUUGGUGUCUGAACUCUUAAAUAAUAUUUAAGGUGAAAAUUGGCCUGAUUUCGAAUGAAAUAUUCUGUGCUCAGAUCUUCUUUCUAAAUGUAAUGUAGCUAAAUAUAGACUCAGAACAUUGUUUCAAAACAUUGUUUUUCCACUUAAGGAAAAAAAAAAAAAAAACCUUUUGAGUUCCCUUGUCCUCCUCUCAUUUUCCCUAAAAUUCUGCCAAAUUUAAUCUGCUUUUACAAAGAGAGCUAGGCAUCUUGUAUUUUUGUAUCAAAUAAAUCAUUCACUCUAAAGGUUUUCAUCCAGCUAAUAAUACAAAUGACCAGAACAGACUGUGCUUUAUACCUUCUAACUGAAGGAGUCAUGUUUCUGACUCUGCUGCUAACUACAGAGCAAGGAGCCCCAGACCUGCCUGCACCCAUCCCAUCCCUUGAAUUCACAGAAAUAAGAAAUUGAUUUUUGGAACAGAUUAGAUGGAUAAGCAAAUUUUUUGUUGUUGUUGUUGCAAUUCCAGACUUCUCCAAAGCUUACUGGAAUUCAUAUUUUACUGGGUUUUUGUGAGGUAUCUCACACAGUUCCCCCUCCCUCGCUGUGCUGGUGGAUUUACACCCAUGGUUCCCAAGCUCAUGAACUUUGCUUUGCCUUAUUUCCCUCAAGUGAUGGAAUUGUGGACAGAUUUUGGAGUCCCAUCACUGCAAUGCAAAAUAAUAUAUUUUCUCCUGCUAAUAAGUGGAAGCCUGAGGAUUAUUUGGGUUGUUUGCUGCCAGAGUGCUGCACUGAAGCUAGGGAUGGGACAGACACUCAUUAUCUAAACCGUUGUUUUCCCCCAUAUUCCUUUCAGCUGUUCUAGAAUUUGUAUUCUAGUUAUACAAAAUAAAAUUCCUGGGCUGACCCUGGCAGACAACACCAGUUUCAAGCCUGCCUUCCACCAUUUUAGUGUGAAAAUGUGGCUGGAAGACAUCCAAAACUCUGAAGGUUUGUUUCUGUGUAAGACGUGUAAUAUCCAGCUGCCUUUGACUGAAUUUAAUGGCGUAUUUGUAUUUGAAAAAAUCAAUAAGGUUUAUGAGCUGAAGAGGGAUCCAGUGUAACCAGAUCUGUCACUUUUAUGGACACCUUCUGCAAUUCCUUGUGACACAGGAAUCAGGCUAUAGAAACCAUCCUACGCGCCCCUGCAAAACAAGAUUUAGUGCUGUAAACCUCACUGGAGCAGCUCAAGGAGAGGUACAAUGAUAGAGAACAAAGGAGAGCACUGAGAAACAACCCACCACUAAUCAGCCUAGAAGGCCAAUAAGAUCUGAUAGGUUUCUGCAAUAAAACUACCCAAAACCUCCCAGUGGAUUUUCAUACAAUAGAAAUCAAAAGGGCACAUUAGUCAUAAGGCAAGAGAGACACCAAGGGAAAACUUCCUGCUGUCAUGCUUUAAACAGCUUUCUUCUUUAGACAAAAUAGCCAUCAUGCAAAGUUCGUAACGAAUAAAAGUUUUCACUCUUUGUUGAGGUCCAGUCCAAGGUCUGUGCAGCAUUUAAGCCAUACUAUUAUGAGGCCAUAAACGGGGCACUAGUUAUAAAUUAUUUCUUAUUGCUAUUGCCUUUGAGACACCAUAAUACAUAAUGAUCUGUCAUCAACAUUUAUAAAAUACUUCUACUGGAGCAGGCGGACUUUAGUUCCUUUUCAGACUAGUCCUGCUGAUUUCAAUCAUGUCUGUGGUUAUAUCAAAGGUUUAAUUUGCUUUUCACUCCACAUUUCUGUACUUUGCUAGAUUAUCUGGAACCUCUCAUCACAGGGAGGGAAGAUAUAGUGAGAAAUGGAUGGAAUCUUUCCCUUUUUCCUCAUGACAAUUUGUGCUGGUCUCUAAAAAUUAUAUGUUGCUUAAGGCAGCAUCACCACAGAGUUCUCCCAGCACAGUGCCUGUGUGUCUUUGCACUGGAGCAUGUGGCUGCUGAAGGACAGGCACUGGAAAUCUUUAUGAAGCUCAUGCUGCACAGCCACGUGUCCAAUGCAGUGCUUUGUUUGGCCUGAGAUAAGAUUUCUUUUCCUUUGAACUUCUGUUAAGUGUUUGCAAAAUAUUCAUUAUUCCUCAAAGAAAGAAUUUCAUACAGUGUCAAUCACUCCUAGUAAGUCUUGUGUUUAUUUGUAAUCCUGUUUUGUUUUAACCUAAAGUCAAAAAUUCACAAAUAUCUGAUGGGAUUAUUAACACAAAACUGCACAAAGUCCUUUCUUUCAUUUCACAUGAUAAGCAUGAAAACUUAUGUGAGAACUGGUCUUCUGUUGAGUUAAAUUUACAUUUUGUGGAACUUACUACAAUGUGACAUAUUUAAGUUUGUAACUACUGUUUCCAAAAUUUCCAAAAGAGAACAGUCUAUUUUAGCAUUUGAUGCCAAUAAAACAAAAAGACUCAUCUUUACCCAUCUGAAAUUAGUGAUUUUUUCCCGCUGCCUUUUAUAAAGAUAAAACAUAUGCAUUAUCUGUUUUAUUUGAAUGAUAAGAGACUGGCACAGCAUAUCUGACAGAAUAGGCUUGUAUCUUUUGAUGUUCACUAACAGUAAAUAAUAAUUAAUACUUUUUUCAUUGGAUGUGGGACUGUAAGCAGUAAAGACAGUUCUUAAUCAUAG